GGACAACUCAGUAAGUUUCAGAAAGGUGUGUUAUGACCCUUCUUAGAAAAAAUUGGUAACGUUGAAAGGAGUGCUAUGACUUUAUUCAUCACUCAAAAAUGCAGACAAUAAAAGCAAACAUAAGGAUAAGCUGAAAGUAAAAGAGCCAAAAGUAAUUCAACUGAAUUGCCAGUUCUCUGAGUUUCUAUUAAGCAAAUGAAGCCAGA
rnacentral:misc_RNA from 1 species